AAUAAACGUAGCCAUAAGUUUAUGUGCCCAACUUUGAUCGUCCAUCUUAUUUGAAUUUUUUUUAUAAUUAGUAUUUUGUGUUAUUAGAUUCUAAAAUAUAGACAAUAGUUUACUCAUGUUUUUUAUUUUUAAAAAAUUUUUAAAUAAGACGAACAAUAAAAGCUGUGUACGAAAACUCAUGGCUAACCUUGUU
rfam:Oryza barthii chromosome 2, whole genome shotgun sequence.